UCUUCAGUUCGCCUUCGGGGCGGGAAACCAGCGUGGCCAUGACUGCGUCGCUCACAAACUUCUUGUUCUUCGUGCAGUUAGGAUUUGUGCAGAUUUUCAAGUGGCUGCGGUGCUAUGAGAUGGCGUGGUGCAGGAGCUCCGAAGACAGCUUGACCAAGCCAGACAGGAGGCCGCGGAUUUCAGGGUGCGCGCAGCUGUUGCGAAUGCGUCGGGCCCCGCGCAGUCUUACAGCGGUGACUGGUCGGGCGAACGCUAGCAGCUGGUGGGGGCCGUGACGUGGGGGUCCUGGGUGGCCCCAGGACUUGCUGACAUCGACAUUAUACCUGCUGGAGCUGACACAACAAAGACAUGGAUGCAAGAGCACAUCGCCUUCUUAACGCCGCUGGCCUUUAAGCGAGUCCCCAAGGAAGCAAAGCUUCAGUUGCUGCUACAACUUACAACAGGCCUCAACUAAGCUGACCAGCGCACAAUUCAAGCAGCCACUCACGAGUGUUGCUUCGGCGGGUGCCAUAGUCCUCC